GAUGAACGCUGGCGGCGUGCCUAAUACAUGCAAGUCGAGCGAACAGACGAGGAGCUUGCUCCUCUGACGUUAGCGGCGGACGGGUGAGUAACACGUGGAUAACCUACUUAUAAGACUGGGAUAACUUCGGGAAACCGGAGCUAAUACCGGAUAAUAUAUUGAACCGCAUGGUUCAAUAGUGAAAGACGGUUUUGCUGUCACUUAUAGAUGGAUCCGCGCCGCAUUAGCUAGUUGGUAAGGUAACGGCUUACCAAGGCAACGAUGCGUAGCCGACCUGAGAGGGUGAUCGGCCACACUGGAACUGAGACACGGUCCAGACUCCUACGGGAGGCAGCAGUAGGGAAUCUUCCGCAAUGGGCGAAAGCUUGACGGAGCAACGCCGCGUGAGUGAUGAAGGUCUUCGGAUCGUAAAACUCUGUUAUUAGGGAAGAACAAAUGUGUAAGUAACUAUGCACGUCUUGACGGUACCUAAUCAGAAAGCCACGGCUAACUACGUG
rnacentral:rRNA from 1 species